rnacentral:rRNA from 1 species
GAGUUUGAUCCUGGCUCAGGAUGAACGUUGGCGGCGUGCCUUACCAAUGCGAGUCAAACGGAACGGUUGAGGCUCUUCGUGAGCGCCCACAGACCGUGGCGUCCGGGUGCGUAACACGUAGCUAACCUACCGGCCGUUGACGGAAAACUCCGGCAAACCGGAGGUAAUCCCGCAUAUGUACGCCUGGUAGACAGGCGCACGAAAGCUGUGGUAAUUCAACCUGUAAUGGCGCCGGCUGAGGGGACAUGCGGCCGAUUACCUAGUUGGUGGCUUAAUGGCUCACCAAGGCAGUGUUCGGUAGCGUUUCUGACAGUGAUGAUCCACCACACGUGCACUGACAUAUGGUUCCGAGCCCUACGGGGUUUAGCAUGGAGGAAUCUUGCGCAAUGGGCGAAAGCCUGACGCAACGACGCCGCGUGGGGGAUGAAGGCCUUCGGGUUGUUAACCCCUUUUCUGGGGGUCGCCAAUCACGGUUCCCCAGGAAUUAACCCCGGCUAACAGGGUGCCAGCAACCGCGGUAAUACCUUGGUGGUUAACGUUAUCCGGAAUCCCUUGGCGUUAAGCGCUUGUAGGCGGCCCGACAGGUGUUCGGUUAAAGCCCCCGGCUCCCCCGGGGAGGGUUCGAGCCAACCGUCCAGCUAGAGGCAGGCAGAGGGCCGUGGAACGUUCGGGGGAGUAAUGGAAUGCGUAGAUUCCGGACGGAACACCAGAGGCGAAAGCGGCCGUUUGGGCCCGUCCUUACCCUUAGGGGCGAAAGCGCGGGGAACAAACUUGAUUAGAUUCCCUGGUAGUC